CAUCAAGGCAGAGGGGUACAGCAAAGAGAGCUGCUUAGCUCAUGCAGCCAGGAAACAGAGCAAGGGAACAGCAACACAGAGGGAGGAACAAGGGAGACAGUUCAAGGGAAAGGAUCAGUAGCAGCCUGAACCGGCUUGGGGUGUGGCCUCCAGCCAGGGCCUCUCAGCCAUUGCUGCAGGAGGGAACCUACUCUAAGCUGCUCUGAGAAAGCCCUAAGUACCAUCCAACCUGGAGAACAAACAGGCCUGGCAGGAGGUGUGAGUCUGGGUUUCCAUGAUGGGAGCUAAACUCAGCCUGAACUGCAGGGGCACAAUGUGACCAUGGGACUUGGAGACCGCUCAAGCCAAAGGACAUGAAGUUUAUUUAUUAGAGCUUCACUGGGGAUGUUAACACCUCCUCCAGCCUGUCUAUGAAGUUGUGCAAUCUUGCAUCCCUAUAAAUACCACCGUGUUCCAGCCUCUGCAAGCCUGUGCCGGCUCAAGCUCAGAGGGAACAGCGGCUGCUUUCCCACAUCCUGGUGAGGCCAAAUGGGGACCAUGAGGACUCACUGCUGUCUGCUGCUGCUGUUCUGCUUCCUUGCCUGUUAUGUUGCCCCAGGUGCUGGCAUCCUGGCUGGCCUGAACAGUGGUCAAGAAAGUACCUCUGACAAUGAAAAGUGCGUCCAGAAGGGAGGGAGCUGUGUCUAUUACAACUGCCCCAUCUAUUCUCAAAUCGUUGGUACCUGUUACAAUGGGCAAGCCAAGUGCUGUGCCUGAACCUGCAGUGAUUUGAAAAGAAAAUGCAGAAGCCAUGUGAAAGAUAUCUAAUCACUGAUUUAAUAAAGGUUUUCUGGAAGCAA